CACCCGCUGGAGAGAGGAAGCCUUGUGUAUUUCAAGGGACACCGUCCCAUCUUUCUAAUUUGUUUGCUUUUUCAAAGAAAAAAAAAAGUGUUCUAAAUGUUAACAUCUUCCUAGUUGUCCUUUUUAAAAAAUCUAAGAAUUAAGAGAUGAAGAUGGAGAAAUAAGAUGUUUGUCAUUUCCUGGAGAUUCUGGAGUUUGGGGUCUUGUGUAUGGAGCCACUUCUAUGUGUUUGGGACUUCUGCAGAGGUAUCUCCUUGUAUCAAAACUUUAGAGGACCCUGACUUGGAAUUCUCACCUCUAAGUCUACCCAGCUCUGCCAGUAUCAUGCCAUGAAGUUCUUUCUCUCCUAUAAAAUCCUGUCCAUUUGGCCUCUAUGCCUAGAGCCAAAGCACUUUUUCCCUGUCUGAAAUUGAUGCUGCGUCACACCAUGGUCCCAGUUCAGCCAUAGUGUUGUCUGGCCCUCUCUCCAUGUGCCUUUUUUUUCCUCCAGGUGUCAGGACAUGGGCAAUGCCCCCGGGAGUUACACAAAGUUAACAGUGUCCAAUCUUGCUUUCUCAUGUGCAUGCAUACAGGACUGACUUACAGUAGUUACUGCUUCAGACUACUUAAGAAAAUAAUUGUGAGGACUUUUCUGAAGAAUGACUCGUCUGAGCUGACAUUGAAAUGUUGUUACCUUCUUAUGAGGAUAAUGUUGUCUGUACCCAAGACUGCAAAUUAUCACUUAAGGGCUUGCUAUUGAAAUGGGUUAAUAUUAUCACCUGGGUUACAUUUACUUAGGGGUUUAAAAAAUUUUCUAGCAAGAGGAUUUCCUUCCUUUUAGGGGGCAGAGAAUGAGGAAUACAUGGGAAAACUGAAAGUAAAAUUGUACACCAAAUGGGGUGGGUGUUGCAAACUGUUCAUCUUUCCUUUUAUGCAAUCUUGAAAAGUCUGAACUCCCUCUGCAAAAUCAUUUAAAGCCUUCAUGUUUUAGGUAGUAUUUUUGUACGUGGAUUAGGUUAUUACCAUGAUUUGGAGAGACAGGUGAGACACAGGACUUCGUGUGAAUCAUACCAGGUCACACUGGUCAUCAUAGGUUCUCAGCCUGUUGGAGAAAUUUCAUUUUUCAUUGGCAGUAUGGUCCUUCUCCACUGAGCUGCCUCCCUUUCAUCUUUUUUUCCCCACAUAAGCAUGCCACUUGAAAGAAACAUGUUUUAUGCUUAUAACUCUUAAUUAACUGUGGCUACCAAAGAAGAGAGUAGCAUGAAUAGAGAAGUACUUGAAGAUGGCCCUGAGCUUUAUUUUUCCAAUUUCCGCCUUUCACCAAAGUACCUUCUUUUAAAUGAUGCUAAACAUUGUUACGUUCUUGACUUGUGUCUUUUUUUUUCUUUUUUUGCCCCGACUGCCUUUUUUUUUUUGGUAUUCACAAGGCUCUAGUAAAGCACGAAAUGCUCAGAGACUGAUAGGAAGUAGAACAAGACCAGGCGAGUGCUCUGGGUGGCCUGGAAGUUUGAAAACCUUGUCAUUUUUCUUCCUCGGUUUUUUAGAAGGAGAAAAGGCAAAGCCACAAAUUAAAACUACAGACCACAUCUUCCACCCAGCAUGCUUACUUUUUUCGUGAGUUGUGAUCGGUUCAGCCAGUGGGUAUAUUCCCAGGCUCUCCGACUGAGCCAGCCGCCCAUCCUGGAGCCGGCGCUGGGCCUGCGCCCGUCCCUGACAGAUGGCCAUCCAGCCCUGCUGGAGCACAGCGACGGCUCGGGUAGGCCAAUCCCAUUUUUGGAGAAAACAGAUUGUUAGAAAGCUCUUCCUUAAAUAGAAUCAGAUUUUUACAUUUCUUUAACUUCCUUCCUUCCUUUGGCUCUUACUUUGCCCUCUAGGCCUGUGCCGAGUAGAUCGGAUCCUCUUCUGUAGUGUCAGCCCUCCCAUAGGCUUGGCUUCAAUCCAGGCAGGCAGUUCUUGGGAAACAUUUCUGUUAAGCAUUGGGUACUGUAAAAAUACAGAUAAGGUGAUGUUCUGAACCCUUGUAUUGAUUUUUGCAAUAUGUAUUGAUCUUCAUAGCCGAAAGGCCCUUGGGGAUCAGUAUCCCCGUCAUGCGGGAGAAAUAUCCCCAUGGUUAGUAUAUAUUUUUUGUUUUGAUCUCUUUAUCCUGCUUACCUGGAGGUUUUGGUUGGACAAAGCGACCUUGUUAUCUCAGCAUGAGUUUUCCCUUGUCCCAUUGAGCUGCAUCUAAUAGAAGAGGAGGCACCCCCUGACCAGGUCUCACCGUCAUGCAGUAACUUCUGUGCAAAGUUUAUAGAUGUGGCUUUGCCAAGAAGGAAGGUAAGAAUGCUUUCCAUAGCUCCCCACUCCCAUUAGUUUUUUGGUUUUUGGUUUUUUUUUUUUUUUCCCCCUAAAAAGAUAGGAGCCAAAGUAUUCAUGGCUUCCUAUUAUUGUUGCUGACUAUAAUUAAAUAGGUAUACCAUCAGAAUGACAGUAUGAGUUUAGGCCAGUUCUCUGCUGUGUAUUGGGAGUGAAGACAGCACUGAAAGUACACCACAUGUAUACUGACCAUGGUUUUUGUUGUUGGUGGUGGUGGUGGUGUUUUGAGACAAGGCCUCACUCUGUUGCCCAGGCUGGACUGCGGUGGCGUAAUCACUGCUUACUACAUUCUCGACCUCGGUAUCCUCCCACCUCAGCCUCCCGAGUAUCUGGGACUAUAGGCAUGCACCACCACACCCACCUAUUUUAUAUUUUUUGUAGAGACAGGAUUUUGCCAUGUUGCCCAGACUGAUCUUUAACUCAUAGGGUCAAUCUAGUAAUUACUCACGGCACCACCCACAUUUGCAAUUUUCACUGCUUUGGGAGUCCACCUAAUUCAUAAAUACAUGGUAAGAUUCCCCACUGCUUUGGAAUAAAAUGGCACCGGCCUCCCCAGCAAAGCCACAGUGUUGUAUGUUGCGUCCUCCAUUGCAGAUUACCCUAACUCUGUGUAGUCCUCUCCUGCUUUCUGGUACUCAUUUGCUGUCCUGAAGUUGGUAGUAAACUUAAUUUUGUCACAUACAGUACUUUGUAAGAGUUGCUUGAGGAAAGAUGUGAGUACCUUUGACAAAAAGAGCUCCUAUGAAAGUAUUCACAUUCUUUCUCUGCAGUAAUUUCAAAGUGAAUAAAACAACCUGAGCUCUUAUUUUCACAAGGGCAAAACAUGUAUAUACUGGAUCUCCUCUCAUAUUCAGCAUAUGAUGAUGAAUAGUUAGAACUCUCCCACAGAUAACAGGGAAUGAUGAUGAUCAAGAACUGCUUCUGCUGGCAGAAUCAGCUGACGUUUUUGAAGGGCUCAGACUGCACAGCUCUGAGCUCAGCGGAGAGAGGACCUGGGCUGAGGUCUGGCCUUGAUAUUGCAACUCACUUAGAAAAUCAUUCAGGCUAGGUGUUGUAAAAGCACUAUGCUACAUCUUUUGAGAUGGGGAAGCUGCUCCCAGGGAGGUAUUUUUCAAAGAUUUCCCUUCAAGCUACUGAAGAGCCGUUUUUUGUUACUACUUUAUGACACCAGCUGGAGCCCUGCAAGGCCCCAAAGGUUAAUUCUCUUUUCGGUCGUUAGCAUAGGCUUAAGGGCUGACUCACAUUACCCAAAAAGUUACAGUUCCAUUUGCAACCUGAUCAUAUCCUCAGGAGGGUAUGUUCACAGGCCCACCUGCCCAAGGCUCACCCUGCCGCCCUACCCACCUGGGACUUCAGCAUCCAGUGUGACCUGCCCCAGGGCUCAUUCGUCAGCAUUCCUCCCAACGAGACCACACCUAGGCCUAGGGUGGUUAGAAACUUGUCAUGAUCGGCCCCAGAACUCUCCUACCUCUGUGAUCCAAGCUAGACCUGGGAACAGUGGGAACACAGAGGCUGCUGAGAGGGCUCCCUAAUGCCCUCUCAGCAGCCUCUCAAACCUUUGCACUGGUUUGAGCUGAUGCUUUUGGAUGGGGACAGGGUGACUGGCAACUGUAUGUGAAACUGACAAGGUUCUGAAAGGCAUAUAGAAUCAACUUUGGAAUUGAACUGAUCAAAGACGCAAAGGAGUACAGCUGUAGGAUUGUUACGUAAGAUCCAAAAGCAGUUAAAAGCAGCACUUGGUAUUAGAGUCAAGAUUACAGUACUUGGGAGGGAGGAAAGCAGAGCCCAAGUGAGGGUAGAGGGGCUUCUGUCUUGGUGAUCUCCUGCCCUGGGGUCUGUGGGGCAGGCUUAUGGGCACACCUGCUGAAAGUGAUAGGGGCCGUUGGUACCGUUGAGGUUUUCCUCUUUUUUUUUUU